rnacentral:rRNA from 1 species
AGGGAAUAUUGCGCAAUGGACGGAAGUCUGACGCAGCGACGCCGCGUGAGCGAUGAAGGUCUUCGGAUCGUAAAGCUCUGUCCUUGGGGAAGAAGGUCUUCGGACUUGACGGUACCCAAGAAGAAAGCCCCGGCUAACUACGUGCCAGCAGCCGCGGUAAUACGUAGGGGGCGAGCGUUGUCCGGAAUUACUGGGCGUAAAGGGUGCGUAGGCGGCCCUUUAAGUCGGAUGUGAAAGCCCGCGGCUUAACCGCGGAAUGGCAUUCGAAACUGGAGGGCUUGAGUGUCGGAGAGGGUAGUGGAAUUCCCAGUGUAGCGGUGAAAUGCGUAGAUAUUGGGAGGAACACCAGUGGCGAAGGCGACUACCUGGACGAUAACUGACGCUGAGGCACGAGAGCUAGGGGAGCAAACAGGA